rnacentral:tRNA from 2 species
GUAAAUGUAGUAUAAUAAAAAAUACUUUUCGCUUACAACGAAAGAACCUAUUUGCGUUUACU